rnacentral:lncRNA from 1 species
GACUAAUCUGUGAUUGAGAAGAACCAGGUUGCAACCUCUUCUUCAUGAAAUCAUCACCCCAUUUCAAUCUAUCAACAGUAACAUCACCGCACCACAAAAUUCCUCUGAUCAUUUGUCCUGAACCUGCAGCAAUCCAUCUACCAAAUCUUCCACUAUAAUCCUCCACGUUUGGUGCCAACGUUGUCCAAUAAGCAGCAGCAGAAUUUUCCUCUACAUCUUCCUUUUUCUCCAAAACCUCCCACCCUUUAACACCCUUCACCUUCUCAACAGAAAGAAGACUGUACUUUUCAAGAACCUCAUCAAGUUUCUUC